rnacentral:lncRNA from 1 species
AGGUGUCCCGAUGUUUCGAUGAGAUGGUGGCUAUCGUUUUCUGUGGGAGUCGACCUUGACGAUCCGACUACGAACGUGCAAGACGUCGCGCCUUAGCAAUCGCUAAACCAACUUCCGAGGGUUAUUGAUCACGCCGGAGCACGAUCAACCUGACCACGAGGGUCUGUUUCCUGCGAGCAAACGAAGAACAAGCAAGAAACUGAGAUUGCAAUCAGGAUAUUGCGAAUAUAAGAUGAAAGCUUUAUUGAUCAAGGUGGGGUUCUGUGACGUCUUGGUCUGGUCGUUGGACACAAACGAAGUACGCGAAGUUGCAGCUAUGGCGAACUUUUAAUCUAAACAAAACCCAAAGUCUAAACGACGCCCUAAGGGCUGUAUAUAUGGAGGAAGAGGGGGGAAUUUCGUGGCCCUUGAGGGUGGGGUCCGAAACCAACCUAACUCUUGUUUCCCCACACAUACGGACUCUAAAAAUAGCCUAUACUUAAGUAUUUCGAAAUUACAUGGGCCUGGCCCAUUAAUAAGGUGACGCAGCACCUAGAAUAGCCUAUGGACGAAUAUUAUGAAGUGGCAUCUUGUAUAUUUCGUCCAAGGCUUCAUGCACUCCUUAUGGCGGCUUCAAAGUCCUGAAAUCAUCACUUGUAACUCCGUUCUUGAUCCCCUUGCGCAUGCCAUCAACUCCAUGCGUGUUCUUGCUCCAAUGUUCAUCCUUCUCCAAGCUAGGCCCUUCAUUUGUAAGCAAAACAAAUGUAUCCAAUUUAGGCAGCAUCAUAAUCUCAUGAACAUUAGAAUCAUUACCAAGAAACGAAAGUACCUGGUAAUUUAAUUGGCGUGCGCGAGCUCUAGUAAUUGGUCCAGUAUAUGUAACAGUAGGGGCUGUGGGUGUAACAAUGGUAUUGAUGUCCUCAUCAUCCUCCCCUUCUUGAAACGAAGUCGUCCUCGACGGAAGCGCAUCUUCCUCACCCAAAUAAGGCUUCAAAUCUGCAAUGUUAAAAGUGGGACUAACCCCAAAAUCUACAGGUAGCUCAAGUUUAUAUGCAUUAUCAUUUAUUUUCUCUAACACCUUAAAAGGACCAUCAGCACGUGGCAUUAGCUUUAUUUGCGCAGAUUAGGAAAUCUAUCUUUACGCAAAUGUAACCAAACAAGAUCUCCAGGCGCAAACACAACAUGUUUUCUACCCUUAUCUUCAGGAAGUUUAUAUUUAGCAUUCAUACGCUCAAUGUUUUCCUUAAUUAACUCAUGCAUUUUUAAAAUCAAUUCAGAACGUUCUUUAGCAUCAAAAUUAACCUUCUCUGAAGAUGGAAGAGGCAACAAAUCAAUAGGUGCACGAGGUAGGAAACCAUACACAAUUUCAAAAGGGCACAUCUUAGUAGUAGAAUGCAAUGAACGAUUAUAAGCAAAUUCAAUAUGAGGCAAGCAUUCUUCCCACAUUUUCUUGUUAUUCUUCAAAACAGCCCUAAGCAUAGUAGACAAUGUUCUAUUGACUACUUCAGUUUGUCCAUCAGUUUGGGGGUGACAAGUAGUACUAAAAAGCAGCUUAGUCCCCAACUUAGCCCAUAAACAUCUCCAAAAGUGGCUAAGAAAUUUAGUAUCACGAUCUGAAACAAUAGUAUUUGGCACACCAUGUAAGCGAAUAAUUUCACGAAAGAACAAAUCAUCAACAUUAACAUCAUCAUCGCUUUUAUGACAUGGUAUAAAGUGUGCCAUUUUCGAGAACCUAUCCACGACAACAAAUAUGCUAUCCCUCCCCUUCUUUGUUUGAGGUAAACCUAAAACAAAGUCCAUAGAUAUAUCCUCCCAAGGAACACUAGGUACAGGCAAAGGCAUAUAUAAACCAUGAGGAUUGAGUCGUGACUUAGCUCUUUGACAUGUAGUGCAGCGAGCAACAAAACGCUCAACAUCCCGUCUCAUCUUUGGCCAAAAGAAAUGUGUAGCAAGUAUAUCCUCCGUCUUCUUGACGCCAAAGUGUCCCAUUAAUCCUCCUCCAUGCGCCUCCUGCAACAACAAAAGACGAACGGAGCUAGCUGGAAUGCAUAGCUUGUUAGCACGAAACACAAAUCCAUCGUUAAGAACGAACUUGUUCCAAGUUCUCCCUUCCUUACAAUUCUGCAAUACAUCUUUAAAUUCAGCAUCAUGAACAUAUUGAUCUUUGAUGGUCUCCAAACCAAAUAUUUUAAAGUCAAGUUGUGAAAGCAUAGUAUAACAACGAGACAAGGCAUCAGCAAUAACAUUUUCUUUACCCUUCUUGUGUUUAAUGACAUAAGGGAAAGUCUCAAUGAAUUCAACCCAUUUAGCAUGUCUACGGUUCAGUUUUGCUUGACUUUUAAUGUGUUUCAAAGAUUCAUGAUUAGAAUGUAUAACAAAUUCCUUGGGCCAUAAAUAAUGUUGCCAUGUUUCUAAGGUCCGAACAAGAGCAUAUAAUUCUUUAUCAUAAGUAGAAUAGUUCGGACUAGGCCCACUCAAUUUUUCAGAAAAGUAUGCAACAGGUUUUCCAUCUUGUAAUAACACACCUCCUAAUCCAAUUCCACUAGCAUCACAUUCAAGCUCAAAAGUCUUAUUGAAAUUAGGAAGUUGGAGUAAAGGAGCAUGUGUCAACUUAUCUUUCAAUACCGUGAAGGCUUCUUCCUGUGCGGUACCCCAAACAAAAGGCACAUCCUUCUUUGUAAGCUCGUUGAGAGGUGCAGCAAUGGUGCUGAAAUCUCUCACAAAACGCCUAGAGAAACCAGCGAGGCCAAGGAAACUCCUCACUUGUGUGACCGUUUUGGGCUGCGGCCAACUCUCAAUAGCUUCAAUCUUGGCUUUAUCAAUUUAAAUUCCCUGUGGAGUACAACAUAGCCAAGAAAAGAUACUCGGUCCGUGCAAAAGGUGCACUUUCCAAGGUUUCCAAACAAACGUGCAUCACGUAGAGCAAUAAAAACAGCACGUAAAUGUUCCAAAUGUUCCUCCAAAGAUUUGCUAUAAAUCAAUAUGUCAUCAAAGUAAACUACCACAAAUCGUCCAAUGAAAGCACGUAAAACUUCGUUCAUUAACCUCAUGAAAGUACUAGGUGCAUUAGUUAACCCAAAAGGCAUGACUAACCACUCAUAUAAUCCAAACUUAGUUAAAUGCUGUUUUCCAUUCAUCACCCAAUUUCAUACAAAUUUGAUGGUAUCCACUACGCAAAUCAACUUUGGAGAAUAUUGUAGAGCCACUCAGUUCAUCAAGCAUAUCAUCUAGCCUAGGAAUAGGAUGACGAUAACGAAUAGUAAUAUUAUUAAUACCUCUACAAUCAACGCACAUACGCGACGUACCAUCCUUUUUCGGCACUAAAAUGAUAGGAACAACACAAGGACUAAGGGAUUCGCGUAUAUAACCUUUGUCGAGCAGUUCUUGUACUUGACGCAUAAUCUCCUUCGUCUCCUCUGGAUUGGUACGGUAUGGUGCACGGUUGGGUAGCGAAGCACCGGGAAUUAAGUCAAUUUGAUGCUCAAUCCCUCGAAUAGGUGGUAAUCCUGGUGGCACGUCUUGUGGAAAGACGUCAGCGAACUCCUCCAAAAUGUUAGUGACAGCAGGGGGAAAAGAGGAAGGCACGUCCUCGAAUGAAAAUAAUGCCUCUUUGCACACAAAAGCAUAGCAAACAGAUUUGCUAAAAUCUAGCUCAUCAAUAUCAGAUUUGGUGGCAAGUAAACAUGCACUUUUCAAUUUAAUUUCAGAAACAACAGUAGAUGGUUUAUUAUUAGGCUUCAUUUGGUGCUCAAAUUCUUUUGCCACAAUCUGAUUUUCACUCUUAUUUGUCUCCUGUUUUGCUUUAUUAGCUCUACUAAUAUCAUCUUUCAAAAUGGGAUCAGGAGUCAUAGGAAGCAAAGUAAUAUUUUUAUCAUUAUGAACAAGAGUAUACUGAUUGUUUCUACCAUGGUGUACAGAAUUUUUAUCAAAUUGCCAUGGUCUACCAAGUAAUAAGGAACAUGCUUGCAUAGGUACCACAUCACAAUCAACAUAAUCAGCAUAUGUAGAGAUACUAAAAUGCACACGAACAGUACGUGUUACCUUAACCUUGCCGCUGUUGUUGAACAUUGGAUGUAGUAAGGAUGUGGAUGUGGUCUUGUGGUGAGAGAUAGCUUCUCCACCAUCUCCAUGCUAGCCAAGUUAUUGCAGCUCCCUCCAUCUAUGAUCACGCGAACAGAAUGUUCCUUCACAACUCCCUUUGUAUGGAACAAAUUAUGCCUCUAAUUUUGCUCAGCUUGUGUAACCUGCACACUCAAAACACGUUGAGCAACUAAACAUUCAUACCUGUCAGCAUCUUCAGGAGCCAUGUAUUGUGUCUCAUGAUCAGAAUCGUCUCCACCGUGUUCUUCACGUGUAAUAAGAGCCAAAGUCUCCUCAUCAUAGUCACUAGCGGACUCAUACCCACCAUCCUCAGUAACAAUCAUCACACGCUUAGAUGGGCAUUCUCUCGCAUAAUGACCUCCACCCUUGCAACGUCGACAAAUAAUAUCAUGUGUUUGCCCUGUUGAUGCCAUGGAUGAAGAAGAGCUCUUUGCAGGCCCAGAAGGUGUGCUCUUGGCAGAUAGUGGUGAUUGUGCCUGCUUUAUUGUAUCACGGUUGGAGGUGGCAGCCGACGGAGGCGCCGGUGUAGCAGAACGUGUGGAAGUAGAUGAUGCACGUGGUGUCCAUGAUGAAGGCCGACCUGCAGAAAAGUUAGUCCGCGCCAAUGCCUGUCGAUCCUGCACUUCACGUUCAGCUUUACAAGCAAGAUGGAAUAAACGAGUGAUAUUAGUAUACUCCUUAUACUCUAGAAUCGUCUGAAUCUCUCUAUUUAAUCCACCCAUAAAACGUGCAAGCAUAGCUUCAUUCUCCUCAACAAUACCACAUCUAAUCAUGCCAGUUUGUAAUUCCUGAUAAUAUUCUUCUACAAAAAUUUUUCCCUGUCUUAAGCGCUGCAAUUUUUGAAGUAAUUCACGUUGAUAAUAUGGUGGAACCCAACGAGUACGCAUAGCAGUUUUCAAAGCAGCCCAAGUAGCCGGAAUAGGAUAUAUUCUACAAUGCUCAGACCACCAAACAUAUGCAAAACUAGUGAAUGCACAAACAGCAGCAGGAACACGUCUCUCAUCGGGAUAUUGUAAACAUGUAAAUUGUUGUUCAGUUUCUAACUCCCAAGUAAGAUAUAUAUCAGGAACAUAUCUACCCUCAAAUGGUGGAAUAUUCAAUUUUAGUUUAGGGAGAUGGUCAUGAUCUCGUACCUGAGGGUGAGCCCUACCAUUGGCAUUAUUUGCAUGUGGACGACCUGGUGGUUGCUGUGCUGGUGGUGGCACGUAGUUCUGAUUUUGAUCAACCUCAUCCUCAUAAUAUCCCACAUAAUCAUCCUCCUCCACAUCAGCAGUAGGAGCCACAGAAGUAUCAACAGCAGCACCAGCAGUUUGGCCCGACUGAAGAGGGACACGGCUCGCUCGGCGGAGGGCUGUUUCCCGACGUGGAGGUAGUCGAUGUUGUUGCUGUUGUUGCAGAGGUGCGGCAGGAGCAGCCGAUGGUGGUGGUGGAAAACGCGAAAGCAAUUCAGCAAACUUGUUAUCGAGCUUUGUUUCAAACGUCUUCUCCAUGCCAUCUAUCUUCUCCAUGGCCUCUUCAAAUCUGUUUAUCACAUCUUGCACCUAUCCACUCAUCAUUUGCUGAAACGUAUCAUGAAGCUCCUUGUUCGUCAAGUUCUCCCAGUCAGUCUCGUCGGCUUGUGAUCCUGGCAUGGUUAGCAGCAAUAGAAACACACAAGAAUAUGAUCCUAUAGACUACUAACAAGUGGUGGUGGUGGCGGGUGUCACAAAUCCGUCAAGCAAAUCUCAAAUUCUUACCAGUUCUUACCCAGCAGCAGGCGGUGAUCGGCAACCGUUGUAGUCAAAACUCUCAAAAGCUUGGAUAGAGCGAUUGCCAGAGAGAGUCAAACGCACAACGUAGAUGUAUGUGGAGCUGGGAAGGCUUAUAGUAUGGUGGCAAAAAGGGUCAGCAAUAAUCAAUUCAGAGAUGCAAAGUUGAAUAAACGCUCAACGAUGGUACUGUGCUGGUCCUAGGCUAGACCGUGCUAGAGACGCGAGCCUAGAACACUAACAAAAUCACGGCGCUGCACGUAAAUAAGGGAAAAGCACACUCUGGAACUCUUUUUUUUCGCUCUUUUUUUUGCGCUCCUUUUUUUGCGCUCCUUUUUUUGCGCUCCUCUUUUUUUUGCGAAAAAUCACUAUAAUGGCGAGUGUCUCAAAACUCUUCCCUCGUCAAACUGAUAGGAUGGGCACGAAUUUUUUUUCACUUUUUUUCGGAAAUCAGGGCAGCGACGACGAAAAAGUGUGACAAGCACUAUGAUGGCACGUGGCUCAAAAGACUCAGAAAAGCCUAAAAAUAGGAUAGGGAAAAAAAAUUUGCCCGUGAAAAUUUUGGCCUAAAAACUGCCCGGGGGUCUCCAGACUUUUUUUUUCCGAGACCUACGCAGGCAAGGAAACACGAAUCAGAAUUUAGAUUGAUCUCAAGAACAAACCUAAUAUGAGAAGAACUCGGAUUGGUGGUGGAUAUAUGGUUGUGGUAUAUGGCAGCGGUGGUGGUAUAUGGUAGCGGUGGUGGUAUAUGGAUACAGAUUGGUGGUGGUAUAUGGAUACAGAUUGGUGGUGGUAUAUGGAUAUGGAUUGAGAGCAGUGGCGGAUAAGCAAAAGUGGUAGAUGGGCGAUGAUGAUGGUGCGGCGGCGUGACAACUUAUGACCAGAACUCGAAACUCUAAAAGACUAGACUCUAAGACCAGCAACUUGACACGACGAUGCAACCGCAAAUUCAACAAAGCAAAAACCCUAAAAAGAUUAUGCAAAGGCUCAGAUUGGUUCGGAUAUGAUGAACUAACCCUAAUUUUUUUUCUGGCUUUUUCGUGGACUGUAGGUAUGAAGAACAGACUCGAUCUAAUCUAUGAAAAACUAUAAAAUCUCAUCGAGUAACCUGGAAAUCUGAUACCACUUGAUAGAGGCUGAGGUGUCCCGAUGUUUCGAUGAGAUGGUGGCUAUCGUUUUCUGUGGGAGUCGACCUUGACGAUCCGACUACGAACGUGCAAGACGUCGUGCCUUAGCAAUCGCUAAACCAACUUCCGAGGGUUAUUGACCACGCCGGAGCACGAUCAACCUGACCACGAGGGUCUGUUUCCUGCGAGCAAAUGAAGAACAAGCAAGAAACUAAGAUUGCAAUCGGAAUGUUGCGAAUAUAAGAUGAAAGCUUUAUUGAUCAAGGUGGGGUUCUGUGACGUCUUGGUCUGGUCGUUGGACACAAACGAAGUACGCGAAGUUGCAGCUAUGGCGAACUUUUAAUCUAAACAAAACCC